CCCUUAGAUGUUCUGGGCCGCACGCGCGCUACACUGAUGCAUUCAACGAGUGUACCUUGGCCGAGAGGCCUGGGCAAUCUUUUGAACGUGCAUCGUGAUAGGGAUAGAUUAUUGCAAUUAUUAAUCUUGAACGAGGAAUUCCUAGUAAACGCAGUUCAUCAAACUGCAUUGAUUACGUCCCUGCCCUUUGUACACACCGCCCGUCGCUCCUACCGAUUGAGUGGUCCGGUGAGGCUUUGGGAUCUGAGCGGAAAGAGCGUUUCGCUGUUUCUGCCCGGAAAACUCAGUCGAACCUUAUCAUUUAGAGGAAGGAGAAGUCGUAACA
rnacentral:rRNA from 1 species